GACAUCAUUAAACAUGUCAUCUCAGAACCCGGAACUUUGACAGACUUUGGAUCUUAUUUCACUUUUAUGCCAUGACUAGUUCACUUGUGGACAGCCAAGAAUCAGAAAACUGAGGGCCUUAUAUGCAGAAUCAGUAAUGUGUUUGUCUUAUUUUCAUCUUUUAUAACCUAUUUCUACAUAUUCUUCUCCCGUCUCCAAUCCUUCCAUCCCAUCACCAAAUGAGAAAAACUGAUGUCAGAAAAAAUCCUGAACAUGGCCAUGGCCAAUGUUCCUCAAAUCUACAGAGCAACAAGAACAACGAAAAUGAGAAAUUGUAGAUUCUAUAAUAAAACAAAAAUAGCAAAAUCUCUCUUUCUGUUUUUUUAAUAUAUCCAGCUCUGGGCCUUGAGUCAUGUGUUGCAUGAAAACUGUCAGAUGGAGACAAUGGCUGCCUCUGUACAGCAUUUGAAAAGAAGAUGGUUCAUAAUGAACGCUCAGACACAGCUACUACACCAACAAACUCCGGCCAUGUCCUUGGGGUUUCCGGAAGUCAAGCAAGGCUGGGUGAUUCUCAAGCAGAUGGUAAUGAACUACACUAAUUAUAAGAGCAGCAAUUUAUCAGUGAUUCUCAGUCCUGGUUGCACACAGGAAUCACCGAGGGAACUCUGAAAAAGUUACCGCCACCCCAGACUCAACCCACAGAGAUACUGAAUUAAUUAGUCUGACGUGAGAACAGGUAUUUGCAUUUUAAAAAAUGAUGUCUGAUGGAAAAAUUCAAACAUAUGAGAAAUACCAAUAGUAGAAAGAACAGUAUAAGAAACUCUCAUGCAGACCACCCAGUUUACCCAAUUGACUCAAGGCCAACCUUGUUUCAUGUAAGCCCCACCCCUUCAAUGAACUCACAUUAUUUUGAAGCAAAUUCCAGACUUCAAAUCAUUUAACAAUAAUUA